UACGGAGGGGGCUAGCGUUGUUCGGAAAUACUGGGCGUAAAGCGCACGUAGGCGGCGCAGCAAGUCAGGGGUGAAAUCCCGGGGCUCAACCCCGGAACUGCCUCUGAAACUGCAGUGCUAGAAUCUUGGAGAGGCGAGUGGAAUUCCGAGUGUAGAGGUGAAAUUCGUAGAUAUUGGAAGAAACACCAGUGGCGAAGGAC
rnacentral:rRNA from 1 species